rnacentral:rRNA from 1 species
GACGGAGGAUGCAAGUGUUAUCCGGAAUCACUGGGCGUAAAGCGUCUGUAGGUGGUCAAAUAAGUCAACUGUUAAAUCUUGAGGCUCAACCUCAAAAUCGCAGUCGAAACUAUUCGACUAGAGUAUAGUAGGGGUAAAGGGAAUUUCCAGUGGAGCGGUGAAAUGCGCAGAUAUCAGGAGGAACACCGGUGGCGAAGGCGGGUCUCUGGGCAAUAACUGACGCUGGAGGAGCGAAAGCGUGGGGAGCGAACAGG